rnacentral:rRNA from 1 species
UGCAAGUCGAGCGGAGAGAAGUAGCUUGCUACUGAUCUUAGCGGCGGACGGGUGAGUAAUGCUUAGGAAUCUGCCUAUUAGUGGGGGACAACAUUCCGAAAGGAAUGCUAAUACCGCAUACGCCCUACGGGGGAAAGCAGGGGAUCACUUGUGACCUUGCGCUAAUAGAUGAGCCUAAGUCGGAUUAGCUAGUUGGUGGGGUAAAGGCCUACCAAGGCGACGAUCUGUAGCGGGUCUGAGAGGAUGAUCCGCCACACUGGGACUGAGACACGGCCCAGACUCCUACGGGAGGCAGCAGUGGGGAAUAUUGGACAAUGGGGGGAACCCUGAUCCAGCCAUGCCGCGUGUGUGAAGAAGGCCUUUUGGUUGUAAAGCACUUUAAGCGAGGAGGAGGCUACUUUGGUUAAUACCCAGGGAUAGUGGACGUUACUCGCAGAAUAAGCACCGGCUAACUCUGUGCCAGCAGCCGCGGUAAUACAGAGGGUGCGAGCGUUAAUCGGAUUUACUGGGCGUAAAGCGUACGUAGGCGGCUUUUUAAGUCGGAUGUGAAAUCCCUGAGCUUAACUUAGGAAUUGCAUUCGAUACUGGGAAGCUAGAGUAUGGGAGAGGAUGGUAGAAUUCCAGGUGUAGCGGUGAAAUGCGUAGAGAUCUGGAGGAAUACCGAUGGCGAAGGCAGCCAUCUGGCCUAAUACUGACGCUGAGGUACGAAAGCAUGGGGAGCAAACAGGAUUAGAUACCCUGGUAGUCCAUGCCGUAAACGAUGUCUACUAGCCGUUGGGG